GGACUUACACGUACACCGUGAGCGAGUUUAAAACCCUUUGGAUAUUUUAAAAGGACUCCAAGGAACUCAGGCUUUGCUUUGGCUUCAAGCUUGGGCCACAGAUGAUAGAAGACUCCUAAGAAGUCACUAUUUAAAUGAAGGUAUUGGCACCUAAUCUUGUCCAGGACCUAUUCUCAACCACAUGGAAAUAAUGUCAAAUAUUUAGUAAGCAAUAAAGAACAAGCAGAAAGUGACACAUCGGGUCGAAGAAACAACGUAGCCAAAAAAAAGGAUCUACAAGCACUACAAAUAUAUUCCUGAUACAAGACAACAGCGUGACCCAGGACACUGUAGACUUCAAUUAAAAAAGCUCUAUGUACAUUGAAAGACACAGAAAUCAAAUAGGAAACAUACGUUGAAACUGGUAGGUGAAUUAUUAAUUUAAACCAUGUGCUUCACUUAAAUCAUUAUGUCGAUUGUAACGUUAUUAAUUAUCUGAUUACUUUGCAAGAUUACCCAAAAAAUAUUUCUGAAUUCCAUUACAAAACUUGUGUUUUCGCAUUUUCUGAAAAUAAUAAAAUGAGCAAAGUUCAUUAGCGUCGUCAAAACCUUUUAACAUAUAGAGGUUAAUCUAGACAUUGCUAUAUUCAGCUGCUCAAUACAGUUUUCAUUUUGAUCAACUCAAUUUCUAUUUACCGAAUAUUCACCGAUUUCACAAUUGUCUCUUAUGUACUUCAAGUCAAAAUAUAACAUUUAGCAGACACUUAAAUUGAAUAAUCCCAGUGUUUAUAUACUGCUAUUACCAUAUUCCCACUCAGGCAUUCUCAGUAUUCCACUGCUCCGAUUUCCUUUAUAUUGUUUAGCGAUAUAAUAAUAAUUUUUCUUAAAAAAUCUUAUGAAAAGCACAAUGUUUACCACAUGUCUUCAUACACUAGCUAUCUUCACCUCAUUACCACGAAAUGAUCAAGUAAGCCAUGACAGUAAGGUCAAUCCAAAUUCCCCAGUUGGUGGUUACAUACCAGAAUUUCUGGAAAAAUAUAAAAUCUUAAAUAGAUAUCAGAUCGGCCGACCAUUAUCAGUCGACCGACCAUUUAUUAGUACUAAAAACCCUAAUUGACUCUUAUAAAUCAAGCCACAAACCGCUUUUUGCAUGUUUUAUCGACUUUAAAAAAGCAUGGACAGUGUCUUGAGAGAGUGUUUGCUUUACAAACUAAUAAUUGGGUGAUACAAGAAAGCAGUAUACACCUGCUGUGACAUGGACAAGAUUGCAUUAUGAAUAUGAGGUGAUUAUUCUCGUACACACAGUAUCGUCUUGCUGUGUAUCUUGAAGCAAAGAAACGGGAUGUACAUAAACUAUUCUCUUAUUUGUUAGCUUCAAAAGAAGUUUGUUGCCACUCUUUGUGUGUACAUAUGCGACUUUUGUAAGACCUCCAUCCAUGCAGAUAUGACCUAGCAAGUCAUUACUUUGAAGAAGGUGGGAAACCAGUGCUUCGUUAAUUCUUGAUGCACCUUUCUUGGAUACUGUUAUAAUCAUAGCUUAAGGAAUGCGUUGAGCGGUGGAAAUGAUAUCUUCAUCGGAUGACCUCCGGCUUAUUAUGGUGAGUAGAUCAACUGACCUUCGUUCUCUGCUUCUUCUUUUUCCUUGGUCUUUCGGGUUCUUAGUUGUUUCCACAUCUCCCGCAUGAUUUUCUUCUCCAACAGGGGCGUCAUCUGUUUCGUUGUUGCCGUGUUUGUCCACGUCACCGUCCAUUUUUGUAAAUUGGCAAAACGUCCAGUAAUUCAACAGGCAUAUUGUUAUAACAUUAAUUUGACUAGUAUCAUACUUACUAAAUUGAUAUCUUGAUUAUAGAUUAGGCUUGCUGUACUCUAUAAAAAUCGAAAUUUAUGUUAGUAAACAAAUUCUCGGUUAAUAGACCUAUUGAAUUUGGAGUACCCUUUAAUGUUUGACAUUUUGUUAUCAGAAUUCAUUUCUACUUUGCAAAGAGUCCAUUAUUUCAACAUACAUAAUGUUAAAACCGUGCUAUGUAAUGAAUAGUAUUUAUACUUACUUAACCGAAGCUCCUUAAAAGUACUGGUGGCUUUCUGUACUCAUAAAAAAAUUGAAAUUUAUGUAAGUAAAUGCAUGCUUGGUUAAUGGCCUUUUGAAUUUGAAGUACUUUUUUAAUGAUUGACAUUUUGUUAUCACUUGGAGUGGUAUUUCAAUUGUUUGAAUUUUCUUAAAGUAUAACGAUGUGUCUCUCAGUUCGACAAAAUGCUUGUUGAAUUCAUUAAAUAAUGGUAUGCCAAAAUGCAACGAAACUUGCUUGCCAAAUCGUCCAUUUUUUCUAUUUUCUCCAACACACUGUCAAGACUGGUAUUGGUCAAGAUGGUAUUUUUUAGCCGAGUUUACAACGGUCACAAUACGACCACGAACUCUAACCCUCUACUAGCCAACAUAAACGGUUCUUCAGCAUUAUACGGUUUUAUUCUGGCUCUACAGUAUGGACAAUGAUAUGGUACUUUAGGCGGUAACCUAACCCAAAAUUUUUCUAUGCACCGCUCAUUGACACGUCGGCCACAGCAAGGCAGCGUGUUAUUAGAGGUUAAAUUGCAAUGGGAGCAGUUAUCCAUCUACACAGUUUACUACGGUCACAAUACGACCACGAACAAAACGUUGCUCAACUUACGAGAAACCUCCAAAAAGUCGUAAUCAUGAAUCAUGUUAUCAUUAAUAUUAUUUUCAUUUAAAAAUGUUAAGCGUUUUGUGUUGGCGUUGUAGUCGUUGGUUUUCGUCUAAAACAGAUUGGUUACGCCACUGUUGGAGCGGAAAAUUUCCUACUAAGUGGGUUUCCCGGUUUUGCCAGAAACGUAGCAUCUGUAAAACAUAAUAACAUGUCUUACCUAGGGUUUAGGGAGAGCCAUGCAGUUCGCAUGUAAAACGCGAACUAGUAGCCUCUACUCGACAACAUGAACGGUUCAUCCGCAUUAUAGGGUUUUAUUCUCGCUCUACAGUAUGGACAAUGGUACGACAAUGGGCAACAUAAUCAACGAAGUUUAGCCUAACACUGCUCAAACACCCUUCACGAAGAGUCAACUAAGGAGUCGUUCUUCUUGCAAUUACACGGGUGAUUCUCCAUGGUGGCUUUGUCUUACUUAAACUUUUAUUUUUGUUCAAUUAUAUAGUACUAUCCACAGUCAUAUAUAUAUAUAUAUCUGAAUUGAAAAUUGUUAUUAUUAUAAUUAAGAAAAAUACUAGAUAAUACAAGAUAUUCAAAAUUCGAUAAUUUACUAGAUAUAUACAAGAUAUUCAAAAUUCGAUAAUUUACUAGAUAUAUACAAGAUAUUCAAAAUUCGAUAAUUUACUAGAUAUAUAUAAGAUAUUCAAAAUUUUAAAAAUUACAAUAUUUGUAUAAACAUUCAUUUAUAUUUAUUUCAAAUUUGUCAUGAAUAAUGUCAUUUCUAUUAGGUAGAUAUCGUAAUUUUGACAAUCAAUGAUAGUGAUUUUUUUGUUUGGAAAUGUUAUCGCUUUUUGGUUCUGUUUAUUAUAAUUAAAGAAAAAUACUAUGGAAAUUACUUGAUAUAAUAUCCCGGAAGAGGCUUGCAUGGCCACUUCUAGAGUAUUGUCUAGUGAUAAAUGACAUAAUAUCGUAUAUGUCAUUUGCAGUCGCCGAUGACUGCUUGUCCGUUGUGUCCAAGUUUUUAAGCGUCUGUCUUAAAGGUUGUAUUUUGUCAGUAAUCCGUUCGAUAUUUUGUAAGAUGUCUGUAUUGUUAAUUAUGUCCAUAUUUUCGUUGACACAUUGGGCGAGCUCAGAAAGCGCCACGCCUGGCCUUAACAGCCAUUCACAAUUUCGUGUAUUCGGCGCUUUGCUGAACUCGCCCAAUCUGACCCGGGUUUGCCCUUUGUAUGGUCGGAGAAAAUAGUGGGGGAAAUGGGAAAAGUAGUUUACUCGUUUGUUAUCACUUAAAAGGUAUCCAUGGCAAUAUUUCUAAAAAUUAAAAUAUGUGGUUACGUAAUGUAAUACAUGUUGAACAUGACUUUUCUUUUCCAUGAACAACAGAAAAAUCCACUUGACGAUUCAUCUACUAAAAAGCUUUUGCAAUUUUUCAGUUCGGACUUUCUUAAUUGAAACGUCAUUAUAACUUGUACAUCUCAUUUGUUUCAAUUUUCUUAAAUGAUAACGAUGUUCCGUGAAACUAUAGCCCCGCAACAUAAGCAACGAAGUUUAGCUUGACACUGCUCAAACGCCCUACAGGAAGAGUAAACUGGGGAGUCGUUCUCUGUCAUCGCAAUUCGUGUCAACCGAUAUAGGUCAAUGUCGAAAAACUUCGCAUGUCAUAAUCAUUCAUAGUCUGGCCAAAGAAGCGACCUUGAAAUGUAUACCGUAAAACACGUUUCAUGGCUAGUCAAUCCCAGCCACCAAACACAUUUUGACGAUACACACACCAGAGUACCUUCUAUGAGCCUUCUAGACCAUCCCCGAAGGGGUGUGAUGACUCUAACCCUCGCAGAGUUCUUUGACAAAGGAAACCAGAGCAGUGCAAUACUAAAAAUCACUGUGUGUGAAUACUGUUCUAUCCAAAAUUUAUUGUAUUAUUUAAUAGGUUUCCCUAAACGUGAUUGAAUAAGUUAGUACGUGAGAAAUAUGAUAUUGACCAUUUAAUUACAAUGAACUUUUUCAAUUCAAUUCUUUAUAUAAGAUUUUUCAUUGAAGAAAGUAUUUGUUUUUUUUUAGAGAAAAAAAGUAUAAUUAUUCAGUAAAUAAACACUAGAGCAUAAUAUGACUUUUUUAGUGAUAAAAAUCAGUAUCUCGUAAAUUCUAACAUUGAACAAUGUUCUAACAGAAAAAUAUAAAGGGGAAUCACAAGAAUUCCUUGAUAAACAAACAUUUCUGCGUAUUUCAAGGGGUUUCUGAAAAACUCUGCUAUAACUUUGAAAUGUGCUCCUAAGAGCCACAUUUUAGCUCCAAGGUGGUGCAGGUCAUCCACAACCUGACUGAUUUCUCCUUCUUCGGAAACCAGCUCUACAAAAUCUACUACAUCUUCCUUGGAGAACUCUUACUUGUUACGUGUGUUAAGCUUUUUUCCAAGGAUGUUAAGCUUAUUCAUUUCUUCCCUGGCCACGAAUUCUCUUAGCUUCGAUGCUCUCGGUGUUGUGGUGUCCUACACAGAUUUUAACUCCUCCAUAUUUACUUCGAACGUUUAAUGCAAUGCGUUUUGCCAGUACCAGGCUCACCUAUGAUUGACAGCAGUUUGGUGCAAUCAUUCAAUGAAUGAUCUUCGUCAUCCUUCUAUUAAAUGAUAGGUGGUGUUCUCAGUGGAGGUUGUGGAUCGUCGUCGGCGAUUUCUUCAUCAUCAUAAUUUACUUGGGGUUGUGGCUGUACAGUUGCAAAAACUGUUCCAUAAUGGCGAGAUCGUAAACCAAGAAAUGACUUCAGCUUAUUCAGCACACUUGUUGCUCGGCAUUAAGCGUGAAGUCAUUAUGAGUUGGCCUAUUUACGAAAUCCUCAUUACGGAGAACUUGUACUUGCCAGAGAUGGUACAUUUGCCUCGUACUAUGUAGAAACGACAAGACAUUGUCUACAUAAUACUCUUUAUUGCCCUGUUCUCGAAAUAAAGUGGCAAUUGCAACAUCAUCGUUCCAUAGUCUGGUUGCAAUGCUAGGGCCGCUGCACAAUACUUGAACUGUUCCGGAAUGCUGUCAUGGUUUGGAUGUCUAAGUUCACUGACAUUCUUGAAAGGUACAUUCAAAAAUAAGUGUUAAAAAAAGAAGCAAGGAUUGAAAACUGACACGUACUUAACCCCUACAAGGGCUGUUUUCCUUUAGUAAGGAGUGGGAACACUUCUGUUAGUAUCGUGCGUCCUUAGCCAUUGGAGCAAACUAUAGUUCUAGAUAUCCUGGCCCCUGUUCAUGUAUUUUGUUACAAAAACACUUUUGUCAACGUUACUUCGGAGGAAUGUAAUGUUUUGUGGGGUUGUUGGUCCAGGCGGGCUUAAAAGACGAGAGAGUGACAACCAUCUCUGGUUCGAGUGGUUUUAAAUCUGACACAUGACGGAAGCCAGUCAUGGCAGGAGUAACGUGUCUAGAAUACAAGGAUUCUGAGGUUUGUUGGUUAUGGAAUUUUGAGACGUAUGAGGUGACGUACCUUAGCACCAUAGAUUUCUUAUCAGAAUCUUGGACAUCCAUUUUGCAUUUGAGGAACGGAAGGAUUGUGCUUAUAUAAGCUCGAAUGUUUCGAGAAAAUGCGUCUUGAGGUGGUACAAGGAAAGCAUUUCCUCGCCGUUCUGAUUAGUUUCAACUAAGGUUCUCUCAUUGCAUUAUGGGAAGGCAUCUUUGUGGCUGGGCUGAAGGUCAUUGACUAAGUAAGCAGUCUCCGCAUCUAACCACGGAAUGUCUCCCCUAGUCUGCUUGCUAAAGACUCUUAAGCCAAACCAAAAGAUGCUGGUGGGCGGUACCCCUGCCUUGAAAUUCGAUCCGAUGGAAAAAGUUCUCAACAUUGCAACGGUUUCUUAUAGAUAAGUAAACACGUUGUCCGUCCACCGAUUGGUGUUGGAUCCACAAAGAGAUCCACGAACUGUUUGUUCUAAGAUAUGGACAAUGUUGAGAGUUUCGAGGAUAGCAAGUCCCGUAGGUCCUUUGCCAGAAAGAUCUCGAGAUUGACGUAACCACUGUGCCCAUGGGGAAGGUCCACUCGAAAGGGCUUAUAGUGAUGAACAACGUAGAAUAUCCGUAUUGUUGCAGUGCUUCCACUAAAAAAACGAUGGUGCCAACGCCAAUAUUCUAUAGAGAAAGUUUUUGUAUCUAAAGAAGUUGCGGCUGAGCGCCUUGACCUAGCAGAAGAUGGAAUUGCGCCUGACACAGUGUUGAAUAGCCACCGGUCAUACACAAAUUUUAAAAGAUAAUAUUCUGAAGAGUAGUUUUCGUCUAAAACAGAUUUUUCUACGCCACUGUUGGAGCGGAAAAUUUCCUACUAAGUGGGUUUCCCGGUUUUGCCAGAAACGUAGCAUCUGUAAAACAUAAUAACAUGUCUUACCUACGGUUUAGGGGGGAGCCAUGCAGUUCGCGUGUAAAACGCGAACUAGUAGCCUCUACUCGACAACAUGAACGGUUCAUCCGCAUUAUAGGGUUUUAUUCUCGCUCUACAGUAUGGAAAAUGGUACGGUACUGUAGGCGCGGUAACCUAACCCAAAAUUUUUCUAUGCACUGCUUGUUGACACGUCGGCCACAGCAAGCCAGCGUGGUGUUAGCGGUUUAAUUGCAAUGGGAGCAGUUAUCCAUCUACACA